rfam:Solanum tuberosum cultivar DM 1-3 516 R44 scf00241_25, whole genome shotgun sequence.
AGCUCAGUGAUUGUAUGCCUUGUGGCAAUAUACGCUAUACCGAUCUAAAGCAUGAGUAGAUAAAAAAAUUUCAAGUAUGAGAGCU